rnacentral:rRNA from 1 species
UCCUGAAGGAACGUUGAAGACGACGACGUUGAUAGGCCGGGUGUGUAAGCGCAGCGAUGCGUUGAGCUAACCGGUACUAAUGAACCGUGAGGCUUAACCUUACAACGCCAAAG